AUCAUGAGUCUCUCUUACUUUUUUCUUCUUGUUAUCUUUCAUUGUUAAAGAGAAAGUAUAAACAUAGUUCUCACUUUUGCAACAUAAUGGCCAGAAAACUGUUGACAUAUUUGAUUGUCUGGAAAAACAUCACCGUAGAAAAUAACUCAGAAUGACAUUAACUAAGUUGCACGAAUUCUCUCUCUUUUUCUCUUUCUAAUAUGCUAAGUUUGGUAGGAAAUUUCUAGCAUAAGCUACUUCCUGGGUUUAAUUAAAUUCUCUGAAGGCAAAAAGAAAGUAGAACCCAAGAUGAGGUGUUUUAUCCAAGGAAGUUGAUAAUCACCAAAUGGAGAACCAGGUUGCACAGGACGAAAUCUGCAAAAGCUCGUUCG
rnacentral:misc_RNA from 1 species